rnacentral:rRNA from 1 species
AUACGGAGGGUGCAAGCGUUACUCGGAAUCACUGGGCGUAAAGCGCGCGCAGGCGGGCUGAUAAGUUGGAUGUGAAAGCCUACGGCUCAACCGUAGAACUGCAUCCAAAACUGUCAGUCUAGAGUGUGGGAGAGGAAGAUGGAAUUAGUUGUGUAGGGGUAAAAUCCGUAGAGAUAACUAGGAAUACCAAAAGCGAAGGCAAUCUUCUGGAACACUACUGACGCUAAGGCGCGAAGGCGUGGGGAGCAAACAGGAUUAGAAACCCUAGUAGUCC